AAUGCUACGUGCCAUUUUCUAAUGUUGUGUCAACCAUUCAACCAAAACCAAAAGGAUCUAAACCCGAUAUUCUUUACCCUGAGAUCAAUUUCACUCGAACCCUAACCAGCAUCUCCCUCAUCAUGCUCAAAACCGUCUCCCUCCCCACCACCACUGAUUCGCAUCUCCAUCACUCCCAAACCCUAAUCAACCCUAUCCACUUCCCUCAAACAUACAAAGAGAAAAAGCGGAGAUAGAGUUAGAACAAAUUAUUCUCCCAAAUUCAUUAAGGCCCAAAACAGCAAACGGGUUUUCAAGAAAUGUUGAUGGGUUUAAAAAAUUGGAAGCUUUUUGACACCUACAAGUUUGACCGCCAUCAAAAAAGUCAAAGUUCAUCUCUGCAAGGCUUACUCCGUCACCGUUCCGGACGGCCCCGGUGCUGAACCACCGAAUUUUUGGGCGUUGAUUUUCGAUCCUGAAAAAGAUUGUACCUUUAAGGUUGAUGUUAAAGAGCUUGAUUCAAGAGUUCGAGCAGAUAUUUUUGGCGAAUUUUUAAAUUGUAAGCUUUUAAUUAUGUGAUCUACGAGGUGUUGUAACAGCCAAGGAUUUGCAAAUCAGGCAUAUGCAUUAAACUUGACUUUGGAUAAAGCACAGAACAAUUGCUGGAGUAAAAGAAGAGAAUACGACAACCGGAGUAAAAGAAGAGAAUACAGCAACUGGGAUACAUUUGGAUACAUAUCAAAGGCUCAAUCUUUGUAAAGGGAAUAAUUGUGUAGGUUUGACUUGGAAAGUAGGAAUACAUAAUGUUUCUAAUUCUCUGACUUUGUAUGUAUUGUGGUGAUGGACUAAUAGUUUUGUUGGUCCUUGAUGGAAUAGUAUAUUUGUUGGCCUUUCAACAAAAAAAAAAUAUAAAAGUCAACAAAUAUCUUGUAUAA